GACGAACGCUGGCGGCGUGCUUAACACAUGCAAGUCGAGCGGUAAGGCCCUUUCGGGGGUACGACGAGCGGCGAACGGGUGAGUAACACGUGGGUGACCUGCCCUCAGCUCUGGGAUAAGCCUGGGAAACCGGGUCUAAUACUGGAUAUGACUCCAUGACGCAUGUUGUGGGGUGGAAAGCCUUGUGCGGCUGAGGAUGGGCCCGCGGCCUAUCAGCUUGUUGGUGGGGUGAUGGCCUACCAAGGCGACGACGGGUAGCCGGCCUGAGAGGACGACCAGCCACACCGGAACUGAGACACGGUCCGGACUCCUACGGGAGGCAGCAGUGGGGAAUAUUGGACAAUGGGGGCAACUCUGAUCCAGCGACGCCGCGUGGGUGAAGAAGGCCUGCGGGUUGUAAAGCCCUUUCGGUGGGGAAGAAAAGUCUCGACCUAAUACGUCGGGACCUUGACGUAACCACUAAGAAGCACCGGCUAACUCUGUGCCAGCAG
rnacentral:rRNA from 1 species